GAUGUUACCUGGUUGAUCCUGCCAGUAGUCAUAUGCU
rnacentral:rRNA from 1 species